ensembl:lncRNA
CCUUGCGGCCCCACCCAGAGGCCGGUUUCGACGUCCCGGACGGCUCAUGCUUUACCGAACAAAGCCCCCAGUGGGGUGCGUCCCGUGGAACACGUGAGCGCCGUGUUUCGGAACAACCCGGAAACAGCAGUUGACAGAGACAGCUUCUGCUGCCUGGUCACUCUCUGUCGCUAAGGGACGGAGGGAGAAAGUUUGAUGGCAACCUGAUCCCCUCGGCCCCCCCAUCGUGCUCUCCGAGGGCACAGGCGAGGGUUCGAGCUGCCUGCCCACGCUCCCCGCUUCCUGCGCCAUCUAUUCCCGUCUCCCCAUCUGCUAAGCAACCGGUGUCCAAACAGACAACACGCGCAGACGAGGUCAAAGGAGGUAAAGCAGCAGAUGUUCGGUGAAGGUGCGUUUGGUCGGCAGCGUGUGGGAGACGCCGUGACCGUAGUGGCCACCGCGAUUGUGCUGUGACAGGAAAGGCCCUUCACCGCGUUACCCUGGGCAACCGUGCUGGGAGCUGGGACUUCUGGAGGUCAGACAGGAACUUGCAGUCCCGAACAUCACGUGUCCAUCAGCCACUUUCGGGGCCUAAAGAUGAACUGCAAAUUACCUCGAGAGGCAUGCUGGGAUCGAAACAUAACCGACCAAGAGCUGAUUAUGACAGACGUGACCUUAACUGCGGUGGCAGCAGGGUACAGGAGACACCCUGAGCAAACUGCACCUGUGCCAUGCAGCAUUGCUUCACUUCCCAUCACCACGUGUGGGCAUGUACCUCCGUCCGCCUCCCAUGGUGCCCCACAGAAGGCCCGAUUGGGGCUGAACUUGUCCUCUGCUGUAAUCACAGCAGCAGCUGUGUCCCCACCACCCCCUCCACCCCCGCGGUCCCAGCAGACGGAUCGCACGGCUGUAAUUACACCAGACUGGCGACAACGAGACGAGUCGCAGGAGGAAGACGACGAGAUGCUCACGAAGCCCUCAGUAAUGCCCCCCCCCACUACCUGGUGGUGGUGGAUUUGGUGGGAUCUAGAGCAGAGCUGCCGCUCUAAUCCCGUCUCGGCGCCGCCCUGCUGCUCAUCCCUGUGAACUGGCGCCCAUGUGCACCUGCUGCUCCAGAAACCCAGAUUCCCCGCUGGAGACGUGCUGCGAACAGGAGACUGUGGGGCUCUUUGGGUCUCCAGUACACGUAUGCAGGGGCCGUAGGGGUCUGAGCCAGUGCCCUUGGACUCGAAGGACCCAGAUUCGAAUCCCCCUUCCUGCUGCAGUGCUCUUGAUCAAGGCACUUACCCUGGUAAAUGAUGCAUUUAGAAACUACCCAGCUGUAUAAAUGGGCAAAUCAGUAAUAACCCUGAUUUUUACCCUGGAUGUUACGAUAACCCUGUUCAUCUCCCCCACGGGUAGGAAACACUCCUUUGCACCCUUUAUCUGAGCUUCACUAUUAUAAACAUGUACACACUGGUGUCAACCACUCGACAUCAGAGGCGCCGGCGGCCCCCCACGCUCGUACCCACAGCCCACAUCCACACAACUCCUGUGCACCAUGCUGACGCGGUACCAGACGACCCGAAGCUCAUGUGACGCAUGUGGGGUUUGCAGAAUUUCACUCGACACAGCCCUGUCCAGAUAAAAGCCUAAAGUCAACAGGGCAGGAAUUCCUUUCCAGGAGGUGGUGGCGUGACUGAUGUGGCCCGAAGUGCGUCUGCUUUUUGUCCAGUUCUAAUGAGGGCUGGUGGGGGGUCGGGUUCGAAUCCCCCUCGUCGGGUUCUGCACGGGGUUUUCCUUUGGCGGACAGUGUGACGGGAUGGGGCAAAAUGCACCUCGCUCGUUCCCACCCCCCGUGACGACUGAACACGCAAAGGGGGGUCACCUGAGGCACCGCGGUAAAACCCUGCUGUAAGUCGGCCUCCUUCGGCUGGAAAAGGGGAGAGGAUUUUCGCCUUCAUUCACCUUUAUUUAUCCAGUAGACGCUUCUCUCCGGAGGAACUUACCCUGCUUUACCCAUUUAUACGGCGGGGUGAUUUUUGCCGCAUCAAUUCAAGGUGAGUACCUUGAUCAAGGGUGCUAAAGGAGGUGGGAUCCGAACGUA